CAGCAGCCGCGGUAAUACGGAGGGUGCAAGCGUUAAUCGGAAUUACUGGGCGUAAAGCGCACGCAGGCGGUCUGUCAAGUCAGAUGUGAAAUCCCCGGGCUUAACCUGGGAACUGCAUUUGAAACUGGCAGGCUAGAGUCUUGUAGAGGGGGGUAGAAUUCCAGGUGUAGCGGUGAAAUGCGUAGAGAUCUGGAGGAAUACCGGUGGCGAAGGCGGCCCCCUGGACAAAGACUGACGCUCAGGUGCGAAAGCGUGGGGAGCAAACAGGAUUAGAUACCCGAGUAGCCCUGUCUCUUAUACA
rnacentral:rRNA from 1 species